rnacentral:rRNA from 1 species
AGUGAACGCUGGCGGCGUGCCUAAUACAUGCAAGUCGAACGGAGAUUCAGUAGCUUGCUAUUUAAUCUUAGUGGCGCACGGGUGAGUAAUAUAUAGCUAACUUGCCCAUUACUAAGGGACAACAGUUGGAAACGACUGCUAAUACCUUAUACUCCGUAUCUAUAUAAGUAGAUACGGGAAAGUUUUUCGGUAAUGGAUAGGGCUAUAUCGUAUCAGCUAGUUGGUAAGGUAAUGGCCUACCAAGGCUAUGACGCGUAACUGGUCUGAGAGGAUGAUCAGUCACACUGGAACUGAGACACGGUCCAGACUCCUACGGGAGGCAGCAGUAGGGAAUAUUGCUCAAUGGGGGAAACCCUGAAGCAGCAACGCCGCGUGGAGGAUGACACUUUUCGGAGCGUAAACUCCUUUUCUUGGGAAAGAAUUAUGACGGUACCCAAGGAAUAAGCACCGGCUAACUCCGUG